rnacentral:lncRNA from 1 species
UUGCUCUUUUAUUUGGAUGAAUUAUUUAAGUAUAAUAUAAACACAGUGCUAUAUUGAACUAAUUAUAAAAAGACUCAAAAGCAUGCAAAGGAAUCCCUGCCAUGCCAUGCGCAUCUUCUUCAGCCAAGCUAGCUUGUAGCAUUUGUCUUCUUGAUUAAACAACUACAAAAAGUACGACAAAAUUAACUUAGGCUGCCAGCUUACAACUUUGAUUGAAGAAUCUCUCUUUCCUGCCCAUCCUUAUCCUUUCUUACUCCCCCAUUUGUCUUUACUUUAAUCUCAGUUAACGCUAGUAAACUAAAGAAACUAAGCUUCACAAUCACGGGGCUUAUCUUUUUUUACUUAAAAUAAACAACAACUUGAUUUGGAAACCACCUAAUCUUCUAGAGAACCGCAUUAACUUUGCCAAUGAAGAAAGUCAUGCAUACAUAGCUGCCCUCUCUCUAUUGGCUCAUUAUUAUCAUUAUUAUUUUACUCGAAGACAGUCAAAUUAAGCUAAAUCAAAACUUGAUUAACUUCUCACCACUAUCAAACCCAAUCAGUGCCUUUUCACUUCAACUUCAUUCAUCACAACUUUAACCAUGGACCAUGGGGUCCCAAACUCAAUCUUAUUGCCUCUUCAAUAACCUAACACGCGUCAGGAUAAGCUUAACCUAUUUGGACAAAUAGCUUUACUUCUGCUCCGCUGUGGUUCAUCGACGCUAUUAGCAAUCAUGACCCGGUGAAGUGAACUUGAGCUCCAUUAUUCAUUCCGAACGAAGACGCCAAGAAGGCCAUGAAUUGCAUGCAUCAACAAGAUGAUGCACCGGUGUACAUGUACAUAUGACCAUUGUUCACUUUUACUGUAUUUGUGUGAACAUUACCAUUAUUUACUUGCAGAAGCCUUCACCUGUUAGAACAACUAGGGAAUUUUGAUGGCCACGUACACAAGAGUUGUUCACUCGUGCUGCCACGGUGGUAAAUUAUGGCGGCUAGCCUAGCUAUAGAUCGUUGAAGGCGUUGAAAUAAGGGUAAAACGGAGCUGAUUCUCUGAUUGAUUCACAGGACUUUGAACAGUCUACGUCUGUUGAAAUUUCACACGUGGAUAGAUAGGAUUUGUGGUCCCGUUCAGCGAGUUGUGGGAAACUGACACGCGUUCACAAUUUUUUUGUUGCCCCCCAUGUGCAUUUUGCUUGCCAUCGAAGAACUCUUUGUUUGUUGCUACACUCUCAAUGCAAGCCUUCAGCUCGAGACCUUGCAUGUGUUUCACUAAUUGAGCCGACUUUGAGCCGUACUAAUUAAGCAGUCCGGCUCUAAGACUAGAAGAAGUGCUGUCCGAUAUUCCUUAAUUAAUUCUUUUUAAUUUCCUCUUCCUCCCUUCUUCGAAGGUCAAGUGCUCUAUUUUUAACCUUAGUCAAAGUUUAGGAAACCCAUGAAAACCCGAUCGCGGUAGCCGGUAGGUAACUAUCCUUAUCGAUCAGUUUCUUAUUUUGGUCUUUUUUCACGAGUGCCUAACUUUUAC